AUUGAACGCUGGCGGAAUGCUUUACACAUGCAAGUCGAGCGGCAGCGCGGGGCAACCUGGCGGCGAGCGGCGAACGGGUGAGUAAUGUAUCGGAACGUGUCCUUGAGUGGGGGAUAGCCCGGUGAAAACCGGAUUAAUACCGCAUACGCAGGAGACUGGAAAGCGGGGGAUCGCAAGACCUCGCGCUGGGGGAGCGGCCGAUAGCCGAUUAGCUAGAUGGUGAGGUAAAGGCUUACCAUGGCUGCGAUCGGUAGCUGGUCUGCGAGGAUGAUCAUCCACACUGGGACUGAGACACGGCCCAGACUCCUACGGGAGGCAGCAGUGGGGAAUUUUGGACAAUGGGGGCAACCCUGAUCCAGCCAUGCCGCGUGAGUGAGGAAGGCCUUCGGGUUGUAAAGCUCUUUUGUCUGGGACGAAACGGUUACGGUUAAUACCUGUGACUACUGACGGUGCCCGAAGAAUAAGCACCGGCUAACUACGUGCCAGCCGCCGCAGUAAGAC
rnacentral:rRNA from 1 species